rnacentral:rRNA from 1 species
CCGUAGCCCAAGAGAUCGGGAUAACACCUGGAAACAGAUGCUAAUACCGGAUAACAACAGAUGAUGCCUAUCAACUGUUUAAAAGAUGGUUCUGCUAUCACUCUUGGAUGGACCUGCGGUGCAUUAGCUAGUUGGUAGGGUAACGGCCUACCAAGGCGAUGAUGCAUAGCCGAGUUGAGAGACUGAUCGGCCACAUUGGGACUGAGACACGGCCCAAACUCCUACGGAGGCAGCAGCA